UACGUAGGGAGCAAGCGUUGUCCGGAAUCAUUGGGCGUAAAGGGUGCGUAGGUGGCGUCGUAAGUCAGGUGUGAAAUCUCGGAGCUUAACUCCGAAACUGCAUUUGAUACUGCGGUGCUUGAGGACUGGAGAGGAGACUGGAAUUUACGGUGUAGCAGUGAAAUGCGUAGAGAUCGUAAGGAAGACCAGUGGCGAAGGCGGGUCUCUGGACAGUUCCUGACACUGAGGCACGAAGGCUAGGGGAGCAAACGGG
rnacentral:rRNA from 1 species